rnacentral:tRNA from 1 species
CGUUCCGGUACGCCGGGCCCGUGCUGGCCUCCUACAACGAGGCCCGGAUGAGCCCGCGCUCCGACGCGCGGCAGACCGUC